GGAGAAGUGUCUGAGUGGUCUAAAGAGCUUGAUUGCUAAUCAAGUGUGUCUAAAACACCGAGGGUUCAAAUCCCUUCUUCUCCU
rnacentral:tRNA from 1 species